UCCCUGUUGGCUCAGCUGGUAAAGUAUCUGCCUGUAAUACAGGAGAUCUGGGUUCGAUCCCUGGGUUGGGAA
rnacentral:tRNA from 1 species